rnacentral:rRNA from 1 species
UACGGAGGGGGCUAGCGUUGUUCGGAAUUACUGGGCGUAAAGGGCGCGCAGGCGGCUGCUCAAGUCAGGCGUGAAAGGCCUGGGCUCAACCCGGGAAUUGCGCUUGAGACUGGGCUGGCUUGAGUGCGGGAGAGGAUGGUGGAAUUCCCAGUGUAGAGGUGAAAUUCGUAGAUAUUCGCAAGAACACCAGUGGCGAAGGCGGCUCACUGGCCCGUAACUGACGCUGAGGCACGAAAGCGUGGGGAGCAAACAGG